rnacentral:lncRNA from 1 species
GACUAAAUGCAUGAGUUUUACUUAUUAGGAUCAUACAAUUAACCAUAUUCCGAACCACUAAAAUACCAAGAAAUAUUACAAUGCUUUUUCCUAGUAACAAUACUCCUUCAUCAACUAAUAACAACAGUGUACAAUCUUGCACUCUCAAAAGACCGCUCAAAAUACAUAAUUUUCAUCCAACACCAGAAAUAACAGACUUUACUCCAACCAAUCUGAAUUCACAUAAUUCCUAUAAUCACCGACUUCUUCUAUCGAAAUACACACAGCUCUUAAUAAACAACAAUUAUAAUCUUCAAAUAACUCCUCAUAUAAUUCAAUCACUCAGUGCUCCAAUUACAUAAUCAAUAAUUCAUAAAUCAAUCUUUGAUUUAUUCCACAUACUCACU